rnacentral:rRNA from 1 species
GUGUCGGAGAGGUAAACUNUUCGGUGCCGCAAGCUAACGCAUUAAGUAUUCCACNUGGGGAGUACGUUCGCAAGAAUGAAACUCAAAGGAAUUGACGGGGACCCGCACAAGCGGUGGAGCAUGUGGUUUAAUUNGAAGCAACGCGAAGAACCUUACCAAAUCUUGACAUACUCUUGAAUAGCCUUGUAAUGAGACUAGUCUUUCGGGACAAGGGAUACAGGUGGUGCAUGGUUGUCGUCAGCUCGUGUCGUGAGAUGUUGGGUUAAGUCCCGCAACGAGCGCAACCCUUGUCGUCAGUAGCCAGCAGUAAGAUGGGCACUCUGACGAGACAGCCGGAGAUAAUCCGAAGGAAGGUGGGGAUGACGUCAAAUCAUCAUGCCCCUUAUGAUUUGGGCUACACACGUGCUACAAUGGCGUAAACAAAGUGAAGCAAAGCUGCGAAGCCAAGCAAAUCACAAAAAUAACGUCUCAGUUCGGAUUGUAGUCUGCAACUCGACUAUAUGAAGCUGGAAUCGCUAGUAAUCGCAGAUCAGAAUGCUGCGGUGAAUACGUUCCCGGGUCUUGUACACACCGCCCGUCACACCAUGGGAGUCAUCAAUGCCCGAAGUCAGUGACCUAACCCACACUGGUAAACAUAAAGCUGUGAUUGCUUUUUUACUUGGCGAAAGCGAGCCGAAGGCGAAGCUUAAGUCUUAGUAAAAAAAAAGUAGUUCUUCAUACGAACAAAGAGAGUAUGAUAGAACGUACUUAGAGAUUAUAGCAGUAAGUUGUGUUUAGCAGUGUGGGAAGGAGCUG